GUGUUGUCUGAAAGAAGUAGUUAGCACUCCCCUUGGCAAGGAUGGAAGAGGCCUUUGAGCCUAAUAACACACAUAUGGUUAGGCAUUGCCACCUACUUCGUGGCAUCUAACCACUGUUUUAG
ensembl:snRNA